UACGUAGGGUGCAAGCGUUGUCCGGAAUUAUUGGGCGUAAAGGGCUCGUAGGCGGUUUGUCGCGUCUGCUGUGAAAACUCGGGGCUUAACCCCGGGCCUGCAGUGGGUACGGGCAGACUAGAGUUCGGUAGGGGAGACUGGAAUUCCUGGUGUAGCGGUGAAAUGCGCAGAUAUCAGGAGGAACACCGAUGGCGAAGGCAGGUCUCUGGGCCGAUACUGACGCUGAGGAGCGAAAGCGUGGGGAGCGAACAGG
rnacentral:rRNA from 1 species